rnacentral:rRNA from 1 species
ACUUAGUGGCAGACGGGUGAGUAACAUGUGGGUAUCUACCCUUUGGCCUGGAAUAACACGAGGAAACUUGUGCUAAUACCGGAUAAGUCUUUACGGAGAAAGCUUUAUGCACCAUUGGAUGAGCCCGCACUUGAUUAGUUUGUUGGUAGGGUAAUGGCCUACCAAGACUAUGAUCAAUAGCUGAUUUGAGAGGAUGAUCAGCCACAUUGGGACUGAGACACGGCCCAAACUCCUACGGGAGGCAGCAGUGGGGAAUCUUGCACAAUGGAGGAAACUCUGAUGCAGCGAUGCCGCGUGAGUGAAGAAGGCCUUUGGGUUGUAAAGCUCUUUCGUCGGGGAAGAAAAUGACUGUACCCGAAUAAGAAGGUCCGGCUAACUUCGUGCCAGCAGCCGCGGUAAUACGAAGGGACCUAGCGUAGUUCGGAAUUACUGGGCUUAAAGAGUUCGUAGGUGGUUGAAA